rnacentral:lncRNA from 1 species
CAUACAUCAUGAACAAGAUGGACACAAGCCACUCAAUUGAUCAAAGGGAAGAGAAAAAGAUGAAGAAAAAGGGACAAGAGACGUCACACCUAAAUUGGACCAAAAGUUUGAUCAAGUCAUCAUCAAAAUCAAUCAUCCAUUUUGGUAGAUUAGGGUUUUCACCCUAUCAACACCUAAGAUCCAUUGAGUUUGAUGAGACUCAUGAUCCAAACAAUCAUGAUCCAAGGCCAACAGAAGUUCACAAAGGUCACACAAGUAUAAAAUGCAAUUAAAUUAAAUAAAAAAUCACCAAAAGUGGUUUUAAAUGAGUUUAAAAAU